ACGAACGCUGGCGGCGUGCUUAACACAUGCAAGUCGAACGGUGAAGCGCCUUCCUUUUUGGUGGGUGUGGAUGAGUGGCGAACGGGUGAGUAACACGUGAGUAACCUGCCCCCUUCUUCUGGAUAACCGCAUGAAAGUGUGGCUAAUACGGGAUAUUCUGGGUCUGUCGCAUGAUGGGUCUGGGAAAGAUAUUGUUUCGGUGGGGGCUGGGCUCGCGGCCUAUCAGCUUGUUGGUGGGGUGAUGGCCUACCAAGGCGGUGACGGGUAGCCGGCCUGAGAGGGUGGACGGUCACACUGGGACUGAGACACGGCCCAGACUCCUACGGGAGGCAGCAGGGGGGAAUAUUGCACAAUGGGCGCAAGCCUGAUGCAGCGACGCCGCGUGAGGGAUGGAGGCCUUCGGGUUGUGAACCUCUUUCGCCAGUGAAGCAGGCCUGCCUCGUUUGUGGGUGGGUUGACGGUAGCUGGAUAAGAAGCGCCGGCUAACUACGUG
rnacentral:rRNA from 1 species